rnacentral:lncRNA from 1 species
AAAAUGGAUUCCCAGGGCAAACAACCCUUCGUCUGAAAGGCUCGAAGGUCCGAUGCGGCACAAUCAUUCCAGAGCAACGAUGACUCUGCCUUUUGCCUUGCACGUCACUACAACGGGAAGUCUGCGCGGAGCGCUAAGAACCGGAAAGCAUUUCUCUAGCCCAAGAGUAUCCCGCUUAACUUGACCACUGCACAUCUGCCGAAAGGACUGCCUGGAAAGUGUGGGGAGCCGCCCUCACAUUCGCCGUUGCAAGAUGGUGCUGACAUCCUGUGUUCUAAGUGGUAAACAAAUAAUCUGCGCAUGUGCCAAGGGUAGUUCUCCACUCCAUGUGCUCUGCCUUUCCCGUGAUGACAACUCGGCCGAUGGGCUGCAGCCAAUCAGGGAGUGACACGUCCUAGGCAGAGGAUAAUUCUCCUUAAAAGGGAUGGGGUUUCGCCAUUCUCUCUCUCUUGCUCUUGCUCUCUUGCUCCUGAAGAUGUAAGCAAUAAAGCUUUUGCCGCAGAAGAUUCUGGUUUGUUGUGUCUUUCCUGGCCGGUCGCGAACGCGUGUAAGAGUUGGUGCCGGAACCCGGGAUGAGAAAACCCAGAACGAGAACAUCACACCAGCGCAAGGAAGACCCCUCAUUCCGGAACCAGAACUGCGGGUCACGGUCAUAAAGGUUCCCGUAAAACAGACUGUUGAGAAGGAUCCGGUGUGGAUGGAACUCUUCAGCUGGGGAACGGUGGUAAUGAAGUGUUCCCGUAACAGACUGUUGAGAAGGAUUCAACUGCGUGGAUUCAGAACUCUUCAGCUGGGGAACAUAAGUACAGCUUUACAAGGAUGAAAACAACCCAUUUUGGAUACCAGAAAGACUCACCCGAAAAAUCCAGACUGACCAAGGGAAUACUAAUGCCCCUCAUCUUGGUGAUGUCCAGGGCGACAAUAACAGAGAGAUCAGCGUUGGGGGAUAAUGUCGACAUUUCCACUCCCAAUGCCGGUGAUGUAUAAUGCUCAAGUAUUCCCCUGCUUUUUUACCACUAACAAGGAAAUGGGUUUGGCCUUGUUCAGACAGCCUUGGCUCUGUCUGGACAGAUCCAGACGACUGACACCAUUAACACAUUGUCAGCCUCGGUGACCACAGUCAUAGAUAAACAGGCCUCAGCUAAUGUCAAGAUACAGGGAGGUCUCAUGCUGGUUAAUCAACUCAUAGAUCUUGUCCAGGAACAACUAGAUGUAUUAUGGCAAAUAGCUCAGCUGGGAUGUGAACAAAAGUUUCCGGGAUUAUGCGUUACUUCCAUUCAGUAUGAGAAAUUUACUAGGGCAGCUAAUUUGUCAAAAAGUCUUUCU